GACGAACGCUGGCGGCGUGCUUAACACAUGCAAGUCGAACGAGGUCCAACCGAUGGCAACAUCGGGAACGACCGAGUGGCGAACGGGUGCGUAACACGUGAGGAACCUACCCCGGACUCUGGGAUAACAGGUGGAAACACCUGCUAAUACCGGAUGCCGUCGGUCCAUCGCAUGGUGAACUGACGAAAGGAAUUCCGGUUCGGGACGGCCUCGCGGCCUAUCAGCUUGUUGGUGGGGUAAUGGCCUACCAAGGCAUCGACGGGUAGCUGGUCUGAGAGGAUGAUCAGCCACACUGGGACUGAGACACGGCCCAGACUCCUACGGGAGGCAG
rnacentral:rRNA from 1 species